ACAUGGAGGAUUGUUGCUCUGAGCUGCACCACAGCAAAAUGGAUGAUCGCAUUGCUAAGGGUUCUGCUCUAAACUCCUUACUCAACGAGCUGUUAGAAGAAAAGCUGCUUGAGGUUUAUCUCGUGCAACAAAGGAAGUGUUGUGGGAAGAAGAACACGUCGGCCCUAACGUUUUGUGUAUACAACAGGAUAUCCGACGCUGGGAGCGUUAGCCUCAUGUCGAGAGCACAUCUGCUCUCUCGCCGUAUCGCUGUAGUCCUCUUUUUGGAGUGCAGACGUCUCAUUUUCAGCUUGUUGCAUGUAGUAAUAUGGCUCAAAAAAGCAAAACAUUGCUUAUCUGGAACUCGUCCCUUCUCAUACUUGUAGAUAAUUCUGUGUACUUAAAGUGUUGGAUUUAUUCAUAGGCAAAGGCAUUAAUUGCCAGUUGACUGACAGCUGGAAAACACAGGGAUUUCAUGCUGGGGCAACAGUAAUUGUUUUCAGAUUUGUUUUAGAGUGUCUUUUUGAUCAAAUUUGUGAGAGAGCAAGUGAGAGAGAAGGAAAGAAGGAGGAGAGAGAGCCAGACACUACUCAUGGGGCCCAUUAGGAAAUUGCCAGUAAGCAAAGUUGCAAAUAAGCUGUCACACAGUACAAAUGAGAUUACCUUUUCAAUGUGCCCUGGAACCUGCACACCGGGGGAUGCAGAACCAGUCACGGCAAAACAAGGCACAAUCGUCUGAUUUAUCUCAGCGCUUGAUCUUCUGGUGGUGUUCUUUCUGCCUCUGUUUUUCAUGCAUGGUGUGCAAAACAGUUUACAAAGUGCUUGCAGCACAAGUUAAUCAGUUGUAGACAACCUCUGAAGCGAGUCGACAUAGUGUUUCAAGUCAGGGAUUUCACUUAUAGUCAUCAGUGCUGAUUUUAUACGCAUACAGAGAGACUUAGUUGCAUAUUUUGGUCUAAACUGUUUACACUUACUGCUCCUGCUUUUCACCUCUUGAUCAGCUUGUUUAUGAAUUGAUGAUUUGUUUUCAUUUGUUGAAGAGAUAUAGAAGUACUCUGCAGGUGUAUCUUGCAGUAUGGGCAUAUUUAUGUCCCAGGGUUAGAUUUUUAUUAAAAUUAAGAGAUUUAAUCUUUUUUUUAAAAAGUCACAUUAAAACCUUUUUA